CCCCUAGACGUUCUGGGCUGCACGCGCGCGACAAUAAUACGCACAGCGAGUAUCACCGAGCUCGAAAGGGCAAGGUAAACAAUAGAAAAGGUACUGUAAUGGUUAUAGAUCCUUGUAAUUAUUGAUCUUCAACGAGGAAUUCCUAGUAAGUAUGUGUCAUCAUCACGCACUGAUUACGUCCCUGCCCUUUGUACACACCGCCCGUCGCUCCUACCGAUUGGGUGAGCCGAUGAAACUCUCGGAUGUAGGCUAUUCAUAGCCCGCAGAAGAGAUUUGAAUCGUAGCGCUUAGAGGAAGGAGAAGUCGUAACA
rnacentral:rRNA from 1 species